GUCUACGGCCAUGCCACCCUGAAUGUGCCCAAUCUUGUCUGAUCUAGGAAGCUAAGCAGGGUCAGGCCUGGUUAGUACUUGGAUGGGAGACCACCUAGGAAUACCAGGUGUAAAAA
rnacentral:rRNA from 1 species